UACGGAGGAUCCAAGCGUUAUCCGGAUUUAUUGGGUUUAAAGGGUGCGUAGGUGGCCUGUUAAGUCAGGGGUGAAAGACGGUAGCUCAACUAUCGCAGUGCCCUUGAUACUGAUGGGCUUGAAUGAACUAGAGGUAGGCGGAAUGUGACAAGUAGCGGUGAAAUGCAUAGAUAUGUCACAGAACACCAAUUGCGAAGGCAGCUCACUACGCAGUGAUUGACGCUGAGGCACGAAAGCGUGGGGAGCAAACAGG
rnacentral:rRNA from 1 species